ensembl:lncRNA
AGAUCCUUGUUUACCUGAGGCUUUCUAGAGAUUCUACAAAUCUUCUGUCCAUCUUUGUGUGAGAAGUGAACAGGAUGCCCCAGGCACUAGAAUAAGUUGCUGUGCAAGCUGAGGCUGGACUCAAUUUCACCUGAAGUGAUAAUUAAAUCGGGAGUUUUUCCUUCUCACAAAGCUUGUUGCUGAAAUCUCCAGUGGUGGAAUUGUGCCUGAAGACCCGCAUGAAAUCUGUCACUGAUUUUAUGUAAAAGUAGGCUGUCUUCUUGCAUUUGACUCUUUGCUCUUUUCUCCUUUAAUUCACUUCAAACUGACAAUUGUACCUGCUUAUAACUAUGCCAACAGUCACAAGCUUGCUCUCUUGUUUUGCUUUUCUCUGUUUACAUUGAAUAUUAUGCUAGCUUUUGUAACAAGGCAAACAUUAAUAAAGACCAUUUUCAGUAGACUUCAUUUAUUGCUAAGUUUUUCCAUUUUUGUUGAAAUAAAUAUACCUGAUAGCUUUGAAAUUUGGGGUAUUAUUAGCUGUUAUUUGACAUUUUAAAUUUAAGGCUAGGCUUAUUUAUCUGCAGUUCUGAAGACUGAGGAAAUACAGAAAAUAUAGAGCAUGCUCCCAGUCAUAUGCCU